rnacentral:lncRNA from 1 species
CCCGAAUCCCCAAGCUCGGUUGGCUCCUUAGAGAAGUUGGGGACAGCCUAUUAGUAAAACUGGAGGCUGGCGACCAACUUCUGCCUCUCCCCAGACGGCCUCUCCCAUCACACAGAUUGCCAAUGUCGGAGAGAGGAAAAGGGGUCCCGGGGUCCCGCAGGCAGUGUAAUAAAGGGGGCCAGGGAGUGAAGGUCCCAUGAGUCAAAGUGCACGAAAGUCCUCCUCUACAAACCGCAGGUAGAGAAAAUCAAAUCCCGCCCCUCGUGGCUGUCACGGCCACCCGAAAAUGAACUAAAACAAAAAUGCUGCUGGCAAGUGGGAUGCUGGGAUGUUUCGUGACUGAGUCGUAGUCCUGGGAUGAAAAUACAGGAGCUUUGGUUGUCUCCAGCUGUAAAAGUCAUUUGGGGCCUAAUAUCGGUUUUAUGGCCUUUUCCCGGGGUGUAAUAACUGGAAAGUGCCCGAGGCAGGUCUCUGUGGGAAAUCUAGGAGUGCUCCACAUAGAUCCUCCUGCCUCGACCAGUGAGAGCCGGCUAGCAGCUAGGAAACAGUUACAUUAUUUCUGCAGUAUAGCUCGAUACGUCCCCAAUAAAAGUUAAUGAUUAUGCGCAGACUUGCAGACGUCCGAGAGUCUAGACCGAAGACGCUGGGAGAAAUCUUUGCACGUUCACUCUCCGGCCUUCCGCGCGAGUAGAACCUUAACGUCACUUCCACACCAGCCUCAAGCCGGUCGCCGAUCUGCCCCUUUGGGUCACCCGCACUGUCCUGCCUUAGAAGGUCACUCUGAUAACUUCCUUAUUCACCCAGGAUGUGUUUAUUGAGCACCUGCUGUGCGCCAGGCAUGCUGUCCGGGAGCUGCCCUCUGGCGGGAAGGUUAGGGGCACGGGCGGCAAGCAGGCAAGUGUGCAAAAGAGCCUCUCAGGGCUGUGACAGGGACAGAGGGGCUCGGGAAGGCGCCUCCGAGGAGAGGACAUCUGAGCCGAGACCUGGAAGACAUGGGAGCAGCCAGGAGAGCCGGGCAGAAAGUACUCUGCCGGAAGGAGAAGCCAGGGCCAGAGGCCACAGGGACCUCUAAGACAGGACCAUGUCCCUCUCUGGCGGCCUGGCACAGUGCCUGGUACUCAGAAGAAGACCAGUGAGGAAGCAAGCAUCACUCCAGACCUACCAGAUGUGCAAAGAUGAAGAGGUCUGAUGGGGCCAAGUGUCUUCAAGGACGUGGAGAAUCAGGGGCGCGGAGACACUGUGGUGGGGUCGUAAGUCAGGUCAUCCACUUUGGGGAGCAGAUGAAAAUACCAAGUAAAGUUAAAAAUGCCCAUUUCUUUCACCCUGAAAUCCUACUUACAGCAUAAAUCUGGAGAAACGUCUGCUCAGGGGAGUGUGAACACACAGAUGUUCGUUGCAUCAUUGUUUAUGACAGCAAAGAACCUGGACACCCAUCGACAGGUAAAAAGGUAAAUAAAUUAUAAAAUAUCCUUACGUAGAGUAGUGUA